rnacentral:rRNA from 1 species
AUGAACGCUGGCGGCGUGCCUCAUACAUGCAAGUCGAGCGAACAGACGAGGAGCUUGCUCCUCUGACGUUAGCGGCGGACGGGUGAGUAACACGUGGAUAACCUGCCUAUAAGACUGGGAUAACUUCGGGAAACCGGAGCUAAUACCGGAUAAUAUAUUGAACCGCAUGGUUCAAUAGUGAAAGACGGUUUUGCUGUCACUUAUAGAUGGAUCCGCGCCGCAUUAGCUAGUUGGUAAGGUAACGGCUUACCAAGGCAACGAUGCGUAGCCGACCUGAGAGGGUGAUCGGCCACACUGGAACGGAGACACGGUCCAGACUCCUACGGGAGGCAGCAGUAGGGAAUCUUCCGCAAUGGGCGAAAGCCUGACGGAGCAACGCCGCGUGAGUGAUGAAGGUCUUCGGAUCGUAAAACUCUGUUAUUAGGGAAGAACAAAUGUGUAAGUAACUAUGCACGUCUUGACGGUACCUAAUCAGAAAGCCACGGCUAACUACGUG